CCUACGGGAGGCAGCAGUGGGGAAUUUUGGACAAUGGGCGCAAGCCUGAUCCAGCAAUGCCGCGUGCAGGAUGAAGGCCUUCGGGUUGUAAACUGCUUUUGUACGGAACGAAACGGUGAGCUCUAAUACAGUUUGCUAAUGACGGUACCGUAAGAAUAAGCACCGGCUAACUACGUGCCAGCAGCCGCGGUAAUACGUAGGGUGCGAGCGUUAAUCGGAAUUACUGGGCGUAAAGCGUGCGCAGGCGGUGAUGUAAGACAGAUGUGAAAUGCCCGGGCUCAACCUGGGACCUGCAUUUGUGACUGCAUCGCUAGAGUACGGUAGAGGGGGAUGGAAUUCCGCGUGUAGCAGUGAAAUGCGUAGAUAUGCGGAGGAACACCGAUGGCGAAGGCAAUCCCCUGGACCCUGUACUGACGCUCAUGCACGAAAGGCGGGGGAGACAAACGAGGAUUAGACUACCCGUGGUACGUCCACGACCCUAAACGAUGUCAACUGGUUGUUGGGUCUUCACUGACUCAGUAACGAAGCUAACGCGUGAAGUUGACCGCCGUGGGGAGUCGGCCGCGAAGGUUGAAACUCGAAAGGAUUAGACGGNGNGAGAGNGCGACGGACGACGACGAGGGGAGGAGG
rnacentral:rRNA from 1 species